ensembl:lncRNA
GUGGAAGGAUCUCUGGUUGGAGAUCCAUCCCUUGUGGAGGUUUUCCCUGCAAACCUAGAUCUUCAGAGAUGGCCAGGAAACUAGCACACCCACGUGUGAGGGCUGCUCCAGAAGUAAUGCCUCUUAUUUUAUUGUGUUGGCACGGGAUGUGAGAGGCAGAUGUUGAUGGUAUGGCAGAAGAACUUCACCCUUGCCACCAAUAGCCCAUUACAUUUUGAUACCAUGUGACAGCUGGCAGGAGAGAGGCAUUGACAAAAUGAUGUCUGUCAUGGAAGUGUGAAUGAAGCAAAGAUAUAUCAUCGAACUCCUCCAUGUGGAAAAAAAUGCAUCUGUUGACAUUAAUCAGUGCUCCAUAAAAAAUGAAUGUUUAUGGAAACGAAGCAGUGGAUGUGAACACUGUGAGGUGGUGGGUGAUGCGUUUCAGCAGAGGUGAUAUUGAUGUGAAAGACAAGCCAUGUUUGGGACAGCCAUGCAGAUUUUUACUAGUGCAGCAUGCAGGCUCUUUUCCAUUGCUGGCAAAGUGCAUAGUUAAUGGUGAUGAGGAUUUGCUCUAUCAAGUAGUGUUACUGUGCACUUUGUAGCUGUUGAAGUUUUUUGGAAAUAAAUAGGAGGCAUUACUUUUGCACCAAUAUGUAUUGUUUAAUACCUAGUAUCUAAGUGAAUACUGCACAUGUUUGAACACAGGUUUCAAACUUCUAGUACAGAUGAGAUAGACAUGCAGUUGCAAAUGAAGUCUGCUGUAUGUGCCUGUGUACAAUGUAUGAAGAUGAAAAUGCGAUUUUCUUUUAAUUUCAGCUUUCUUAGGUCCUGCUAUAGAAGGAAAAAAAAACAACAACAAAACAUCAACUAUUGAGCCAUGUGUUUCUGAGCACUCUUUGUUACUGUAGGAAUACUGAUUUGUUAAUGUCUGAAAUUAGUAUUUUUUGAACCAGAGAAGUGUGGUGUCUUGGUACACACACAGCUUUAAGCAAGAAUAUGUUUAUGAAAAGAAUGGCAGGGGAGCUCCUUAGCAACAGAGCAUAUUAAUGCUAAAUGUGAAAAAUGGUAUGAAGCUGGUUCAGAUUACCCAAUAUUAGACUGUUCCUUUUAUUUUGGUUGCAGCGAUGUUACAGUAUGAGUGCUUCAGGCCAUGUGUAUAAUGCAGAGCCUCUUCGGUAAAUUUGCUUUAGCUGACAGUGUUCUUAACAAGUGACAGUUCUAAAUAUAGUCCAAUGAGUAAAAAGACAUUGCCCUUAGGCUGGGUUGAUCUCAUUGCCACAGAUUUUUUCCCCUUCUUUAUAGAAAGUUCAAAUACUAAAAAUAA